rnacentral:lncRNA from 1 species
AUUAGUAGUCAUUUAGAUUAUAACACCUCAUACAUUUUCUGUGAAGUCCAAAAAGUUACUCAGUAGCUUAAAUUAAGUUAUGUUCCAAGCAUAGAUAAAGGACUUGUAUAAAUUUUCCUUUUGUCUGUCUUUAGUGUCUAUGCAUAGCUAUUUAAACUAGGAGUAUAUAAGAAAAAUUUGCAGUAGGUACUUACAUUGUAAGUUAUUUUAUGACCUGGAAGUGUCGUAUGAAGUAUAAGUAUUAAGACUUAGUCAUAAGGUGUUCAAGGCAAAUUUAAAAAUGAUCAGUACUGUACAAAAUAGUUGAGUAUCGCCACCAGUACAGGGUACUGAUAAGAUGAACAGGCAUUUCCCUUGUUCAUUGCUAUACAGAAGCAGCAAAGACAUUACACUGCUUGGAUAUUCUACACACCAACCCAAAAGCCAGAUGGAAAGGCAAGAAGGAGCUCUGUAAACUCCUAGACGACAAAGCCAUCUUGUCAUAACCGUCAUCAUAAUCCUUUUUAAAAAUGGAAGACUGGACAUGGUUAAAAUAGCAUCAAGCGAUUUACAGCCUCAGGCUGGGCUUCUCGCAGUGCUCAGCUAUGAUGACCUCUAGGGUCAUCAAUACUGAAUGCUUUUUGAUUUCACGUGGCAGAAGGGGCCCCUGAAUCCAACUGAGAUCACCGCUAUUUCUGUAUAUACAGAUUGAGGCUUAACUGCAUGGAGUAGUUUUUUAUUGUUUCUGUCCAGGAGGAUGAAGCAAAGAUUCUGAUUUAAUAAGUGAUGUGUUUGAGACAUGGUUGAUGACAAGCAAUCAUUGAUUUACCCAGUUCUAGUUUUCAAACACAGCAAUUGUUUUCCUAUUUUGUGGCCACUGCCUCUGAAACUAUAUCAUGUAAGGAGAAGUCCAAAGCAUACAAAGAGAAUGGGAGCACUCUAACAAUCCUUUUUCUCCCUCUUGCAGGAUGGCGAAGUCUGACAGCUUAGCUUUGCUAUCCCUCAUGGGCAAGUACGCUUCCUUUGCCCCCUCCAAUUCAUUGCAAGAGUAAUGUGUCUUGUCCUGCUGCCAAUACUACCACAAUGGAUUACCGUGCUUCUCUGAAUAGAGAUACUGGUGAGUAAUUUUCAUCUCUGCUGAAAUUAAUUCAUACCUUUUUUCCCCAGUUUUGCAUCAGAAUCAAGUAACCUGACUGAUUUAGAGU